rnacentral:rRNA from 1 species
AGAUAUCCGAAUGGGGCAACCCGUCAGGCUAUGGCCUGACACAUGAUUUAAGAUCAUGAGCGAACGCGGGGAACUGAAACAUCUCAUUACCCGUAGGAGAAGAAAACAAGAGUGAUUCCCUGAGUAGUGGCGAGCGAACGGGGAACAGCCCAAACCGUUUUUGUUUCGGCAAAGGCGGGGUAAUAGGACUUCGAACGAAGGUUAUUUUUAGAUAUAGGAGAACAUACUGGAAAGUAUGGCCGAAGAGCAUGAUAGCUGCGUAUCCGACAUAUCGCAUGAUGACUGACGGAGCACCUGAGUAGCGCGGGACACGAGAAAUCCUGUGUGAAUUAGCGGGGCCCAUCC